rnacentral:misc_RNA from 1 species
GAUGAAGAACGCAGCGAAAUGCGAUAAGUAGUGUGAAUUGCAGAAUUCAGUGAAUCAUCGAAUCUUUGAACGCACAUUGCGCCUCCUGGCAUUCCGGGAGGCAUGCCUGUUCGAGCGUCAUCAAACCCCAUCGUGCAAAUGAAUUAUUUUUUUUGCGCGGAAGUGACGAUUGAGCGAGAAUAACAAAUCCUCUUGCACCUCGUCGAAAUGAUUGCGGGCGGAAUUUGGGAUCGGGUUCCUCGGCGUAGUGUAUCAAUGCAUAUUUAUGCAACUUGCCGCGGAGUUGAGCCUGACCCACGCGUUCUCGCCGUACAAACACCUCAUUACUUUACAAGUUUUUGACCUCGGAUCAGGUAGGGAUACCCGCUGAACUUAAGCAUAUCAAUAAGCGGAGGA